AUUGAACGCUGGCGGCAUGCCUUACACAUGCAAGUCGAACGGCAGCACGGGUGCUUGCCCCUGGUGGCGAGUGGCGAACGGGUGAGUAAUACAUCGGAACAUGUCCUGUAGUGGGGGAUAGCCCGGCGAAAGCCGGAUUAAUACCGCAUACGAUCUACGGAUGAAAGCGGGGGACCUUCGGGCCUCGCGCUAUAGGGUUGGCCGAUGGCUGAUUAGCUAGUUGGUGGGGUAAAGGCCUACCAAGGCGACGAUCAGUAGCUGGUCUGAGAGGACGACCAGCCACACUGGAACUGAGACACGGCCCAGACUCCUAUGGGAGGCAGCAGUGGGGAAUUUUGGACAAUGGGCGAAAGCCUGAUCCAGCAAUGCCGCGUGUGUGAAGAAGGCCUUCGGGUUGUAAAGCACUUUUGUCCGGAAAGAAAUCCUUGGCCCUAAUACGGUCGGGGGAUGACGGUACCGGAAGAAUAAGCACCGGCUAACUACGUG
rnacentral:rRNA from 1 species